rnacentral:rRNA from 1 species
UACGGAGGGUGCGAGCGUUAUCCGGAAUUACUGGGCUUAAAGGGUGCGUAGGCGGCCAGGUAAGUCAGGUGUGAAAGUUUGCGGCUCAACCGUAAAAUUGCUUUUGAUACUGCCAGGCUAGAAUUAGGAUGAGGUCAGCGGAAUGUGGCAUGUAGCGGUGAAAUGCAUAGAUAUGCCAUAGAACACCAAUUGCGAAGGCAGCUGGCUAGACCUGGAUUGACGCUGAGGCACGAAAGCGUGGGGAGCGAACAGG